rnacentral:tRNA from 2 species
GGGCUGGUAGCUCAAUAGGUAGAGCAUUGGACUCUUAAUCCAGGGGUUGCAGGUUCGAGUCCUGUCCAGCCCA